GGAGAAUUACUCAAGAGGCCGAAGAGGCGCCCCUGCUAAGGGUGUAGGUCGGGAAACCGGCGCGAGGGUUCAAAUCCCUCAUUCUCCG
rnacentral:tRNA from 1 species